rnacentral:rRNA from 1 species
UAGGGAAUCUUCGGCAAUGGACGGAAGUCUGACCGAGCAACGCCGCGUGAGUGAAGAAGGUUUUCGGAUCGUAAAGCUCUGUUGUAAGAGAAGAACGAGUGUGAGAGUGGAAAGUUCACACUGUGACGGUAGCUUACCAGAAAGGGACGGCUAACUACGUGCCAGCAGCCGCGGUAAUACGUAGGUCCCGAGCGUUGUCCGGAUUUAUUGGGCGUAAAGCGAGCGCAGGCGGUUUGAUAAGUCUGAAGUUAAAGGCUGUGGCUCAACCAUAGUUCGCUUUGGAAACUGUCAAACUUGAGUGCAGAAGGGGAGAGUGGAAUUCCAUGUGUAGCGGUGAAAUGCGUAGAUAUAUGGAGGAACACCGGUGGCGAAAGCGGCUCUCUGGUCUGUAACUGACGCUGAGGCUCGAAAGCGUGGGGAGCGAACAGGAUUAGAUACCCUGGUAGUCCACGCCGUAAACGAUGAGUGCUAGGUGUUGGAUCCUUUCCGGGAUUCAGUGCCGCAGCUAACGCAUUAAGCACUCCGCCUGGGGAGUACGACCGCAAGGUUG